rnacentral:misc_RNA from 1 species
AAGGAUCAUUAGUGAAUUUUGGGCAUUCUAUGUUUCAUAGAGGCCCGACCUCCACAAUCCCAAACACUGUGCACUUAUUUGGCGAGUUUCAUUAAUAGAGGAGUAACACCCUUUAGAAACUUGCGGCUUCAUUUUUAACACUAGUCAAAGAAUGUAAAUAAAAUUAUAACAAAAAAAAACUUUCAACAACGGAUCUCUUGGCUCUC